UGGGGAAUAUUGGACAAUGGGCGAAAGCUGAUCCAGCCAUGCCGCGUGAGUGAUGAAGGCCUUAGGGUUGUAAAACUCUUUCGGCGGGGACGAUAAUGACGGUACCCGCAGAAGAAGCUCCGGCUAACUUCGUGCCAGCCCCCCGGUAAUUAAAA
rnacentral:rRNA from 1 species